rnacentral:rRNA from 1 species
GAGUUUGAUCCUGGCUCAGAUUGAACGCUGGCGGCAUGGCUAAAACAUGCAAGUCGAACGAUGUAGCAAUACAUAGUGGCGAAAGGGCGAGGAAUAGAUUCCUACAUACCUCGAGGUCGGGGAUACCCCGGAGAAAUCCGGAUCAAUACCCGAUGUGGUCGAGAGAUCAAAGGUUUACCGCCUUGAGAGUGGGGAAUCUCCUAUCAGCUAGUUGGUGAGGUAAUGGCUCACCAAGGCGAAGACGGGUAGCGGGUGUGAGAGCACGGCCCGCCGCAUCGAGACUGAGACACUGCUCGGACUCCUACGGGAGGCUGCAGUAACGAAUCUUCCGCAAUGCGCGAAAGCGUGACGGGGCAAUGCCGCGUGCAGGAUGAAGCCCCUCGGGGUGUAAACUGCUGUCAGGGUGCAGGAAAGACAUGACCAUACCCAAAGGAAGCACCGGCUAACUCUGUGCCAGCAGCCGCGGUAAUACAGAGGGUGCGAGCGUUAAUCGGAAUCACUGGGCUUAAAGGGUGCGUAGGCGGAUGCAUAGGCGCUUUGUGAAAUCCCACGGCUCAACCGUGGAAUUGCUUGGCGAACCAUGCGUCUUGAGGUUGGUAGAGGUCACUGGAACGAUAGGUGGAGCGGUGAAAUGCGUAGAUAUCUAUCGGAACGCCAAAGGUGAAGACAGGUGACUGGGCCAAAUCUGACGCUGAGGCACGAAAGCGUGGGGAGCAAACGGGAUUAGAUACCCCGGUAGUCCACGCUGUAAACGAUGCAUACUUGGUCGGAGUGGUUUGACUCCAUUCCGGCCGUAGGAAAACUGAUGAGUAUGCCGCCUGGGGAGUACGGUCGCAAGAUUAAAACUCAAAGGAAUUGACGGGGGCUCACACAAGCGGUGGAGCAUGUGGCUUAAUUCGAAGCAACGCGAAGAACCUUACCUAGGCUUGACAUUCACGGAUAAACUCUAUGAAAGUAGAGGUACACCCGCAAGGGCGGAACGUGAACAGGUGCUGCAUGGCUGUCGUCAGCUCGUGCUGUGAAGUGUCGGGUUAAGUCCCGCAACGAGCGCAACCC